UGGGAAGAGACCUACGCCAAACCCAGUGUC
rnacentral:piRNA from 1 species